GUGCUUGCUUCAGCAACACAUAUACUAAAAAUUGGAGUGAUACGGAGAAUAUUAGCAUGGCUCCUACACAAGGAUGAUGGUAAAGUCUACCUUCCAAGCCACUUUA
ensembl:snRNA U6 U6 spliceosomal RNA